AAAUUUGAAAAUCCGCACCACUCCCAUCUAUUUCAAAAUUUGAAGACUGUACCUCUCCCAUCCUUCUCUCCCAUUUCAAAUACUCCAUCUACUUAACUUAUUUUGAAGACUCUAACGGUCCAUCUCUCCGGCGAAACUCGGCACCACCACCGUCGCUGAUUCUCCCCCUCUCUCAAUCCCACUCUCUUUCCCUCUAUAUUCUCACAAUUCCCAAAUUAGGAUGCAUCUCUCUUUCUCCCAAAAAUCUGACUCUCUCAUCUCCGGCGAAACUCGUCUCUAGCAUAUCACCACCGCAACUUCUCUCUCUCACUCACCCUGCUCUGGCCUCCACCUCCUGUCAGGUUGUGCGAAAUUUCUCAUUAAAAUUACCUAGAAACCCUACAUGAAAAAGCGGUGCCUCUAUCUCCCUCCUCCAACGGCACUGCACUCUCCCUCUCCAUCUCCAUCUCCAUCUCCAUCUCCUUCUCCUUCUUUCUCUCUCAAUUGGCGGAAUCGACUCGUGUUUUCCCCACACCAAGAGUCAUAGCCCUCGCAGAUUUCACGCCCCCGGCCUGCUCGCCCGGAGAAGAAAGCCGAGGACGUGGCUGUCUCGGAGUUUGGUCCCCACCGCGGCUGCUACUCGCCAUCAUCAGACGCCGUCGUCUCCUGCAGCAGGUCGCUGGUCUGGAUUCGUGGGCGGCGUCGGGUGUCCCCUGACUCGCGGCCUUGCCGCCACCGCCAGCUGCGCGAACCCGUCGCCUUCCGCCCUUCCGUCGUGGGUCUUUUCUCCUUUUUCUUCUCAUCUUUCUCCCUAAUUGAAUUGUAAAUUGAAUUGGUUUAGUUGGGGGCGAACUUGUAGUGUGUGAUCAUGCGUGCAAAUUAAGCUAGAAAAAGUGUUUAUUUAAUUGUCUAGACGGGAUACAUGUCACCAUCGACCUCCUCAUGGACUCGCCGUCUGAUUUCGUUGCUGCUGAUUCUCGCCGAGCGGUGAGAGGCGCUCCAGGAUCCACUGAGCAGUCGCUUCGGUCGGUGUCAUACUCCAGCCAUCUCGGCUGCAUUGUCAUUGUCAAUUUCGUCGGACUGCCGUGGACUUCUCGGCUUAGGGAAGCUUUAGCAACAAUCUUUCUACUCCCUCUGGAGAGUUUGUAUCUGGCUGGUGCUUGUCUAACGUUCUAGUUUGUGAAGAGGAUGCACCAUUAGAUGUACCUCGUUCAUCUUAUGCUCAUCAGAGAACGUCUUUGUUGAUUAAAGUGAUUGUAAACCUUGAUGGCUUUGUUCCUGAUGUAUACCAGGAUGAGAAGGAUUUGUUUCUCAACAUGUUCAUUUGGUUCAUAGAGAAGGACUAUUAGAAACUGUCAGAUGACAAAGUGUCCACAGUUCACUGUUAAGUCUUUAGUUCCAGGAUUUUUGAAUGAAGAUGAUGUACAACUGCUGAAGUAAUUUGAAUAUAUGCCUUCCUUCCAUGCUGAAAUCGGGUUAUUUGUAAGUCAGUUUGAGUUCCGAAUCGUUCGUGCUGCAUCGGAAGAUCAUUUAGUCCAUGUAAAACCUCUCUGGCUUAACAUAUGGAUGUCAUUCAUCUUUUUCCAUAAAUGAGCUUGGGAAGAGGUGGAUGCAGAAGCAACUAGCUUCCUAUAUUGGACUCCCGACCCUGAUGAAAAAAAGAGUUCUUGCAUUGCUGAAAAAAUGUUUGGUAUAGAUUCAAGAGAGUUAAAUGCUCCCUCCGAGGAAAGUUACCCGAAGGGCCAACUGGAACGUAAUACAAAGCGCUCUUAUGAUAAACUUUGGAAGCUUUAGCGACAAUCUUUCUACUCCCUCUGGAGAGUUUGUAUCUGGCUGGUGCUCGUCUAACAUUCUAGUUUGUGAAGAGGAUGCACCAUUAAAAUGAGAAGGAUCUGUUUCUCAACAUGUUCAUUCGGGUCAUAGAGAAGGACUAUUAGAAACUGUCAGAUGGCAAAGUGUCCACAGUUAGCAAUAGCUUGUGUUCACUGUUAUGUCAUGCAGAGUCUUUAGUUCCAGGAUCUUUGAAUGAAGAUGAUGUACAACUGCUGAGGGAAUACGCUUCAUAAAAAGGAAUUUUAGUGCCAGAAAAGGAAGGUAGGAAGGUAAGACUGAUCUUGUAAAGAUGACAGGAAAGAUGGUAGUAUAUAUUUAAAGACAAUUUAAUCGAUCACUCAAAAUUAAAUGUUGGAAUGUGUCGAAGAUGAUCUAAAUUGACAGAGUAUUAUGUUUUUUUAUUCUGAUAAAGAUAUAACGGUAGAGGUUUGUUUUCAGCAUUUUGGUAUGCGAGAAGGAACCAGUUUCCAGAAAGUGGGAAAUCCGAGCUUUUAUUGUAGUCGUCAAAUCCUGGGUCUUGUGAAUGUGCUUAUUUGUCUAAGUUGCUUGAGGGCGAGCAAGACUUCUGUUUGGGGGGUAUUUGAUGUGUGUGGUUAAUUUAACUUGUUAUUAUACAAUGGAUGGAAUGGAGGGUAGCAUACUACUACUCCAGUUCAAUUUUGACCACCUCACUAUUAAUUCCAGUGAGUUGAAGGGUAUAAAGCUGCAACUAAUAUUUGUAUUUUUAUAAACCUAACUUUAGUUCGAUAUUUAGUGUGUCAUUUCAUACUAAAGCCAUCAAUGAAGAACUACUGCAAAAUCUUUCUGAUGCUCUACACUUGUCGGUACCUGAUAAAAUUAGGGUUGGACUUCUUUGUCUAAUUUUGAAGAACACGAUAUCUUCACGAUACCAGGAUGUGUGGUUAGUUAUUCUCUUCUUUGUACAUACAUUUAGAUAUAAUUUUUUGUUUAGUUGUAGGAAGUGGAAUACAUACAACAGUCUAUUAUUUUUGUAUCCUUGGAAUACUUCUACCUGUUGCACUAAACCUGUAACCCUUUUCUUGGCUGUAUGCAGGAAAGAAUUUCUGUCUGAUUAAGAUUACUGAGCUGUCUGCCAAUUCUGCUGCGUUUGAGGCUACUGAUAUAAUUUAGCAUAUUCUCGUGUCACUCUUAGUCGAUUUGAAGGCCUCUCUAAGCAUUUAGAUUCAUUCUACUUGAAGGCCACUCUAAGCAUUUAGUUUCAUUUUUUCAAAAUGUUAUCCCUUGUGCAACUAAGGUGUUUUCUGUGAUAGUUCCUAGUGCAUAAAUAGAGUAGAAUGUACUUGGUCGAUCUGAAGGUCGGGGGUGGUAGGUGGAGUUUUUAACUUAUAAGAAACGGGGGGAAGGUGUGGAAAACAAAAGGCACAAGUCUAUUUAUUGGUUUUUGACCUUGCUUUGCGUGGUCUUCUGCUUCCUGGUUGUUGCGCCUAUAUUUUUAUAUUUAUUUUAUUCAUUAUUUGCUGCCUUUUGCAGCUAAUUAUUGAACUGUUACAUAUAUUAAAUUUUUGUUUGUUAUACUGUGACUGACGUUUUUCAUCUUUUUCUAAUCCACCUUUUGCUACCUUGCAGCAUAAUUAAUUAAUACAUACAUAGUAUCCUACUUUUCUUUGUCUAUGCCGUGUACAAAUAUGUGCAAUAUUAGUGUUUCUUUGAUAUGUAUACCCAUCGAUUGUCAAAUCUUGGCUUCUUAAUAUAUCUGUUAACUAGACACAUUUCCUUUUUUACUUUGGCAUUCAGUUUGCUGUACUUGCAUCUAAAAAGAAAGCAUGGGCCUUGGAAGCUGGUUGAGCACCCAAUUAGUGUCACGUAAAGAUACUUUCUAUGAGGUUAGUGUUGCCACUACUGUGGCAGGGUGACUGAAUUUUAAUAUUUUUGCAAUGCCGGAAUGGAAACUGCAGCUUGUUGUUACCAUGUAGUAAAUACUUCAAUUACAAUGGAUGGAAUCUAAACUACUUCGAUUUCUAUAUAUUUAGUCAAGUUCCUCAACAAUUUAAUUUGACUUAAUAUCUCUUAUAUGCCAGUUAAGCAGUUUAAUACGUAGUCUACUAUAUUUGAGUUUGUUAUCUUUACUGUCCGUUUGAUGAUUAUGAUUGAUACAAUAAAUUUUGGUUUACAAAUUAGUAGCAUUGUAAAAUACUAUUCAACCUAACUAUGUUAGUUGAAUCUUACCCUGUUAUAAUCAGUUUGUCUAUAAUGUUUAUCCUUUGUGAAUGCUUCUGCUUCAGGAUCAGUCAUUAAACAUCAAUGUGUGACUCACCGUACAUAGGGUAUUGCUUUACGUGCUAUUUUAGAUGCUUUGAGGAAGCCUGCAGAUUCAGAAGUUUGUUCCUUCCUAGUUUAUCAGUUAAUGUUAUUAUUGUGAAUUUCAGUUUUACCUUGGAUUUAUAACAUUCUGAUGUUUUCCUUUGAGAGUAUGGCAUUGGAGCAGUUUGUGGACCAUCUCAUUGAGUGGCCACAGUAUAGAGAGGGCACUCAACAGUAUUUAAGCGGCUUAUACCGAACCUGAUGGUGGCCAUAGUGCCAAUACUGCUCACCGACGCGGUCAUUUUCAAUCUUCAGCUCCACAUAUAGAGUCACUCAGUGGUGCUUUGCUAUCAAUACAAUCUGCCUCAUCGGAUUUACCAUGGUCAUCUAAAUCAACCUCAGCAAGUAAAUUAUCAGCUUUUGCAACACUGUGAAGCUGAAAGUGUAUCAUACCUGGAUGAGGUGGCCAGCAACACAGCAACUCAGGAUAUGGCACACACUCUGUUGGACUCGAGUUUUUGCAACUUUGUGAAGCUGAAAGUGUAUCAUACCUGGAUGAGUUGGCCAGCAAUGGCAACUCAGGAUAUGGCAAAGUUUGUUGGACUCGAGGUUCCUGCAUUGCGGAAAAAAGCUUGGUAUAGAUUCAAGACAAUUAAAUGCUCCCUCCAAUAACUCCCUCCAAGGCAAGUUACCAGAAGGGGCAACUUGAGUUUAAUACAAAGCUCUUGACAAAUGCCGUCCUAUAUGCUUCAAAUUAUCUGUCAUUCAUCAUGAAGUGUGUUUAUAGGGUUUGUAUUUUCUGUAUGUAUUUUGUGUAGUGCAGGCAGUGUGUAAUGUUUUUUUGUAUGUAUGUGUAAAGUGUGUGUAUUUGUGUAGUGCAAGCAGUGUGUAUAUUUUAUGUAUUUUGU